rnacentral:rRNA from 1 species
UAAAUACUCCUGACUGACCGAUAGUGAACCAGUACCGUGAGGGAAAGGCGAAAAGAACCCCGGCGAGGGGAGUGAAAAAGAACCUGAAACCGUGUACGUACAAGCAGUGGGAGCACCCUUCGGGGUGUGACUGCGUACCUUUUGUAUAAUGGGUCAGCGACUUAUAUUCUGUAGCAAGGUUAACCGAAUAGGGGAGCCGCAGGGAAACCGAGUCUUAACUGGGCGAAUUAGUUGCAGGGUAUAGACCCGAAACCCGGUGAUCUAGCCAUGGGCAGGUUGAAGGUUGGGUAACACUAACUGGAGGACCGAACCGACUAAUGUUGAAAAAUUAGCGGAUGACUUGUGGCUGGGGGUGAAAGGCCAAUCAAACCGGGAGAUAGCUGGUUCUCCCCGAAAGCUAUUUAGGUAGCGCCUCGUGAACUCAUCUCCGGGGGUAGAGCACUGUUUCGGCUAGGGGGUCAUCCCGACUUACCAACCCGAUGCAAACUGCGAAUACCGGAGAAUGUUAUCACGGGAGACACACGGCGGGUGCUAACGUUCGUCGUGAAGAGGGAAACAACCCAGACCGCCGGCUAAGGUCCCAAAGUCAUAAUUAAGUGGGAAACGAAGUGGGAAGGCUCAGACAGCCAGGAUGUUGGCUUAGAAGCAGCCAUCAUUUAAAGAAAGCGUAAUAGCUCACUGGUCGAGUCGGCCUGCGCGGAAGAUGUAACGGGGCUAAAUUAUGCACCGAAGCCGCGGCAGCGAUAUGUAAAUAUUGUUGGGUAGGGGAGCG